CGUUAAUCGGAAUUACUGGGCGUAAAGCGCACGCAGGCGGUCUGUCAAGUCGGAUGUGAAAUCCCCGGGCUCAACCUGGGAACUGCAUUCGAAACUGGCAGGCUUGAGUCUUGUAGAGGGGGGUAGAAUUCCAGGUGUAGCGGUGAAAUGCGUAGAGAUCUGGAGGAAUACCGGUGGCGAAGGCGGCCCCCUGGACAAAGACUGACGCUCAGGUGCGAAAGCGUGGGGAGCAAACAGGAUUAGAUACCCUGGUAGUCCACGCCGUAAACGAUGUCUACUUGGAGGUUGUGCCCUUGAGGCGUGGCUUCCGGAGCUAACGCGUUAAGUAGACCGCCUGGGGAGUACGGCCGCAAGGUUAAAACUCAAAUGAAUUGACGGGGGCCCGCACAAGCGGUGGAGCAUGUGGUUUAAUUCGAUGCAACGCGAAGAACC
rnacentral:rRNA from 2 species